UUAAGUGAUUCAAGAGCCUUCUUCCUCAACUCAGUCUCAAGUUUUUUCUGCUCAGAAUGUGUAUCUUCACCAUCACUUGGAUCUCUUCUCCCAGCAAGUUCAUCACAUCAUCAGAAGAAUUAACAUCAUUUAGAUCCUUCAACUUGAGCUUCUCUGCACGGUGUUUUUUCCUUCUACGACGUCGCUCCUCACGCCGCCGAUAUUUUUCCUCUUUUCGCAGUUUCUUUUCUUCCUUGCUCCUCCUCUUAGCCUCUUUCCUUUCUUCAUAUUCAGAAUCAUAGCUGUAAUUAUCAUCUGAAGCCAUUUCUUCUCUAUAUGAUCUUUUAUGCUUUCGCCUUUCCUUUAUUCUCAGUUCUGCGCUGGUCACUUUCCUCAGAACCAGAAUCAAAUGCACCAACACCACCAUUACUAUGAUCAGCUUUUUCGACUGAUAUUUGUGUAGUUUCUGACUUACGUUGCCUAUCACUGUCCUUAACCUUGUUUGAAUUUGAAUGGUUUCUCUCAUCAGAGUUUUUACCCUCUCCCACAAAAGGCAUUUGCCUCUUCCCCAGCAAAUGGUCCUCAUAUGCAGUUGGAGAUUUCUGCCCUUCAGGAGUUUCAGGAUAAGCCCCCUUCCGAGAACACUUUUCAAUCUUUAUUUCCUUGUCUUUCUUCCUUGAUUCCGCAAUAUCAAGACGGCUCUGAGAUUUAGUAAGUCGAUGACCCGCCACUCUUUCAGAAGAGUGCUCAUCCUUCAAAUGGAUCUCCACAGGAGAAUCUUUCUGCUUACUGGUGAUGGAUGAAAGCAUAGAACAUUUCUGUGAAGACCUGGAUUUAUAAUCCCGAGCAUGAUCAGUAUCUUCAUCCUCUUUGCUAGAUGGACUUUCUUGAUAAGGUUUCUGCUCUUUUGGCUUCUGUGGAGGGCUUAAGCUGUUAUCAUAUGUAAUUUGCCCCCUUCUUUGCCUCACAGGGCUCCUAGAUGAACUAGAAGACCUAUUUCUUCUCCCUUUUCUUUGCCUCGCAAGGCUCACAUAUGGAUGAGUUGACCUUCUGUCCUCACUAGAAAUCCUAUUCCUAGUAGGUGGUGGAGAAUCUGACCGAACUGAAGACAUCUCUGGUGAAGGCGACAAAGAUGGUGAUUUAUCAUGCAAAUCCUUCUGAUUCUUUGAAUAUCUUGGCGGUGACCUCAAAGAACUAAUGGAUCGACGCAGC
rnacentral:misc_RNA from 1 species